rnacentral:rRNA from 1 species
ACGAACGCUGGCGGCGUGCUUAACACCUGCAAGUCGAACGGAAAGGCCCCCUUGUGGGGUACUCGAGUGGCGAACGGGUGAGUAACACGUGAGUAACCUACCCUUGACUUUGGGAUAACUUCAGGAAACUGGGGCUAAUACCGGAUAGGAGCUCCUGCUGCAUGGUGGGGGUUGGAAAGUUUCGGCGGUUGGGGAUGGACUCGCGGCUUAUCAGCUUGUUGGUGGGGUAGUGGCUCACCAAGGCUUUGACGGGUAGCCGGCCUGAGAGGGUGACCGGCCACAUUGGGACUGAGAGACGGCCCAGACUCCUACGGGAGGCAGCAGUGGGGAAUAUUGCACAAUGGGCGGAAGCCUGAUGCAGCAACGCCGCGUGCGGGAUGACGGCCUUCGGGUUGUAAACCGCUUUCGCCUGUGACGAAGCGUGAGUGACGGUAAUGGGGAAAGAAGCACCGGCUAACUACGU